rnacentral:rRNA from 1 species
UACAGAGGUGGCAAGCGUUGUUCGGAAUUACUGGGCGUAAAGGGCGCGUAGGCGGCCUUCUAAGUCAGACGUGAAAUCCCCCGGCUUAACCUGGGAACUGCGUCCGAUACUGGAAGGCUUGAAUCCGGGAGAGGGAUGUGGAAUUCCAGGUGUAGCGGUGAAAUGCGUAGAUAUCUGGAGGAACACCGGUGGCGAAGGCGACAUCCUGGACCGGUAUUGACGCUGAGGCGCGAAAGCCAGGGGAGCAAACGGG